rnacentral:rRNA from 1 species
AGUGAACGCUGGCGGUAGGCCUAACACAUGCAAGUCGAACGGCAGCACAGUAAGAGCUUGCUCUUACGGGUGGCGAGUGGCGGACGGGUGAGGAAUACAUCGGAAUCUACUUUUUCGUGGGGGAUAACGUAGGGAAACUUACGCUAAUACCGCAUACGACCUACGGGUGAAAGCAGGGGAUCUUCGGACCUUGCGCGAUUGAAUGAGCCGAUGUCGGAUUAGCUAGUUGGCGGGGUAAAGGCCCACCAAGGCGACGAUCCGUGGCUGGUCUGAGAGGAUGAUCAGCCACACUGGAACUGAGACACGGUCCAGACUCCUACGGGAGGCAGCAGUGGGGAAUAUUGGACAAUGGGCGCAAGCCUGAUCCAGCCAUACCGCGUGGGUGAAGAAGGCCUUCGGGUUGUAAAGCCCUUUUGUUGGGAAAGAAAAGCAGCAGGUGAAUACCCCGCUGUUCUGACGGUACCCAAAGAAUAAGCACCGGCUAACUUCGUG